UUCAGAGGUCUCGAGCGUUGUUCGGAUUUACUGGGCGUAAAGGGAGCGUAGGCGGCCGGGUGUGUCGAAUGUGAAAGCCCACAACUCAACUGUGGAAUGGCAUUCGAAACUACCUGGCUAGAGUACUGGAGAGGAGAGCGGAAUUCUUGGUGUAGCGGUGAAAUGCGUAGAUAUCAAGAGGAACACCGGUGGCGAAGGCGGCUCUCUGGACAGAUACUGACGCUGAGGCUCUAAAGUUAGGGGAGCAAACAGGAUUAGAUA
rnacentral:rRNA from 1 species